rnacentral:rRNA from 1 species
CCUACGGGAGGCAGCAGUGGGGAAUUUUGGACAAUGGGCGCAAGCCUGAUCCAGCAAUGCCGCGUGCAGGAAGAAGGCCUUCGGGUUGUAAACUGCUUUUGUCAGGGAAGAAAUCCUCUAGGCUAAUACCCUUGGGGGGAUGACGGUACCUGAAGAAUAAGCACCGGCUAACUACGUGCCAGCAGCCGCGGUAAUACGUAGGGUGCAAGCGUUAAUCGGAAUUACUGGGCGUAAAGCGUGCGCAGGCGGCUUUGCAAGACAGAUGUGAAAUCCCCGGGCUCAACCUGGGAACUGCAUUUGUGACUGCAAGGCUAGAGUACGGUAGAGGGGGAUGGAAUUCCGCGUGUAGCAGUGAAAUGCGUAGAUAUGCGGAGGAACACCAAUGGCGAAGGCAAUCCCCUGGACCUGUACUGACGCUCAUGCACGAAAGCGUGGGGAGCAAACAGGAUUAGAUACCCUGGUAGUCCACGCCCUAAACGAUGUCACUGGUUGUUGGACGGUCUUGUCUGUUCGUAGUAACGAACGACGUACGACGUGUAGUUAGACCGCCGUCGGGGUAGGUACGGUUCCGGACGUAAGGUUAGGUUAAACGUUAAAGGUUAAGUUAGGACGGCGUUGGAGACGNGCCGACGGACGACGACGAGGGAGGAGG